GUAUAAGGAUUUGCUACAAUUAGAUGCUUGUGUACUAUUGGCCAGUAUGACACAGAUAGUUUCUUUUCUUAAACUAAAAAGAAAUAAAAGAGAAGAAAAGACACUGGUGAAUGUGGAAAAAGCCAACAGGCACUUUGGCAACCAAAGAAAAAUUUUGAGAUUGCAAAAGUCCUUCAGGGCAGCGACCACAUCUUCUACUUUUGAGGCAGUGUGAUACAAUGAAGAAACCAUGGAAGUGGAAUUAGAUUCAAACAAUUGUGGUCUAGGUUCUGAAACCAAUUAGUCGUUCAGUAUUUAGAUAAGUCUCUUUAACUUCACUGAGCCUCUGUUUCCAUAUGAUAAGAUUCAUGCCCAUAAAUGUGUAAUAAUUGGAUUAUUUUAUACUGUCUAUUAAACCUGUGGUAUGUAUUUACUAUUUUUUUUUUAUUUUGCAAUGGGGUUUCGCUAUGUUGCCCAGGCUGGUCUUGAACUCCUGGCCUCAAGCAAUCCUCCCACCUCAGCCUCCCAAAGUGCUGAGAUUACAGGCAUGAAUCACUGCACCUGGCCAUG
rnacentral:lncRNA from 10 species